rnacentral:rRNA from 1 species
GACAGAGGAUGCAAGCGUUAUCCGGAAUGAUUGGGCGUAAAGCGUCUGUAGGUGGCGUUUUUAAGUCCGCCGUCAAAUCCCAGGGCUCAACCCUGGACGGCGGUGGAAACUACCAAGCUGGAGUACGGUAGGGGCAGGAGGGAAUUUCCGGUGGAGCGGUGAAAUGCGUAGAGAUCGGAAAGAACACCAACGGGCGAAAAGCACCUCUGCCUGGGCCGACACUG